UACGUAGGGUGCAAGCGUUAAUCGGAAUACUGGGCGUAAAGCGUGCGCAGGCGGUUUUGUAAGUCUGAUGUGAAAUCCCCGGGCUCAACCUGGGAAUUGCAUUGGAGACUGCAAGGCUAGAAUCUGGCAGAGGGGGGUAGAAUUCCACGUGUAGCAGUGAAAUGCGUAGAGAUGUGGAGGAACACCGAUGGCGAAGGCAGCCCCCUGGGUCAAGAUUGACGC
rnacentral:rRNA from 1 species